GUAUUUUUUCCCUGUUCAUCAAGAAAUAAUUAAAUCUGGUCUAUGUAUGUGUGACUGACAAUGAGACAAUUCUCCAUCCAAGUCAUAAUCAGUUUGGGGCAACCCCUUAAUGUUAUAAAUAUCCCUUUUACAUGUUUUAUGAGGGAUCAAUAUAAGUUAUAAUAUAUUUGUUUGUACAAAAGGGCUCAUAUUUUCUAAAAGAACUAUAUAUCUAUCUAGUAUUAAAUGGUCAAAACAUGUCCAAGAAUUUUG
rnacentral:lncRNA from 1 species